rnacentral:rRNA from 1 species
AGUCGAGGGAGANUGUUGGAUCCGUCUGACAUGAAACCGGCGCACGGGUGCGUANCANGUAUGCAACCUACCUUUAACUGGGGUAUAGCUCAGAGAAAUCUGAAUUAAUCCCCCAUAAGACUACGACAUGGCAUCAUGAUGUAGUUAAAGCUCCGGCGGUUAAGGAUGGGCAUGCGGUACAUUAGUUAGUUGGUGAGGUAACGGCUCACCAAGGCUACGAUGUAUAGGGGGUCUGAGAGGAUGAUCCCCCACACUGGUACUGAGACACGGACCAGACUCCUACGGGAGGCAGCAGUAGGGAAUAUUGGUCAAUGGACGCAAGUCUGAACCAGCCAUGCCGCGUGAAGGAUGAAGGCCCUAUGGGUCGUAAACUUCUUUUAUUAGGGAAGAAAAAAUGGGAUGCGUCCUAUACUGACGGUACUUAAUGAAUAAGGAUCGGCUAACUUCGUGCCAGCAGCCGCGGUAAGACGAAGGAUCCAAGCGUUGUCCGGAUUUACUGGGUUUAAAGGGUGCGUAGGCGGAAAAUUAAGUCAGUGGUGAAAGCCCGCAGCUCAACUGUGGAACUGCCAUUGAAACUGGUUUUCUUGAAUAUAGCUGAGGCAGAUGGAAUAUAACAUGUAGCGGUGAAAUGCUUAGAUAUGUUAUAGAACACCGAUUGCGAAGGCAGUCUGCUAAACUAUUAUUGUCGCUGAGGCACGAAAGCGUGGGGAGCGAACAGGAUUAGAUACCCUGGUAGUCCACGCCCUAAACGUUGAUUACUCGCUGUUGGCGAUAUACUGUCAGUGGCUAAGCGAAAGCAUUAAGUAAUCCACCUGGGAAGUACGACCGCAAGGUUGAAACUCAAAGGAAUUGACGGGGGCCCGCACAAGCGGAGNAGCAUGUGGUUUAAUUCGAUGAUACGCGAGNAACCUUACNUGGGCUUAAAUGUC